GACGAACGCUGGCGGCGUGCUUAACACAUGCAAGUCGAACGGAAAGGCCCUGCUUGCAGGGUACUCGAGUGGCGAACGGGUGAGUAACACGUGGGUGAUCUGCCCUGCACUUCGGGAUAAGCCUGGGAAACUGGGUCUAAUACCGGAUAGGAGCCCUUUUUAGUGUGAUGGUUGGAAAGUUUUUUCGGUGUAGGAUGAGCUCGCGGCCUAUCAGCUUGUUGGUGGGGUAAUGGCCUACCAAGGCGGCGACGGGUAGCCGGCCUGGGAGGGUGGACGGCCACAUUGGGACUGAGAUACGGCCCAGACUCCUACGGGAGGCAGCAGUGGGGAAUAUUGCACAAUGGGCGCAAGCCUGAUGCAGCGACGCCGCGUGGGGGAUGACGGCCUUCGGGUUGUAAACUCCUUUCGCUAGGGACGAAGCUUUUUGUGACGGUACCUAGAUAAGAAGCACCGGCUAACUACGUG
rnacentral:rRNA from 1 species